UACGUAGGGUGCAAGCGUUAAUCGGAAUUACUGGGCGUAAAGCGUGCGCAGGCGGCUUUGCAAGACAGAUGUGAAAUCCCCGGGCUUAACCUGGGAACUGCAUUUGAGACUGCAUUGCUAGAGUAUGGGAGAGGGAAGUGGAAUUUCCGGUGUAGCGGUGAAAUGCGUAGAUAUCGGAAGGAACAUCAGUGGCGAAAGCGACUUCCUGGACCAAUACUGACGCUCAUGUGCGAAAGCGUGGGGAGCAAACAGG
rnacentral:rRNA from 1 species